GGUCCCGUGGUGCAGUGGCAAGCACAUCUGGACUCAUGAUCCGAAGACCUGCGUUCGAUUCGCAGCGGGACCU
rnacentral:tRNA from 1 species